rnacentral:rRNA from 1 species
UACGUAGGGCGCAAGCGUUAUCCGGAAUUAUUGGGCGUAAAGAGCUCGUAGGCGGUUUGUCGCGUCUGCCGUGAAAGUCCGGGGCUCAACUCCGGAUCUGCGGUGGGUACGGGCAGACUAGAGUGAUGUAGGGGAGACUGGAAUUCCUGGUGUAGCGGUGAAAUGCGCAGAUAUCAGGAGGAACACCGGUAGCGGCAAAGGCGGGUC